rnacentral:rRNA from 1 species
AGCGAACGCUGGCGGCAGGCCUAACACAUGCAAGUCGAACGAACCUACCGGGGUUAGUGGCGGUUACGUGAGGAACACGUGGGACCGUGCCUGUAGGUACCGAAUACUUCAGGGUAACUUGUGCUAAUACCGAAUGUGUCCCUCGGGGGAAAGAUUCAUCGGCGUUAGAGCGGCCCGCGUAUGUUUAGCUUGUUGGUUUUGGAAAUGGCGCACUAAGGCGACGUUCUGUAGGUGGUCUGUGAGGCAGAUCAGCAACAUUGAGACAGAGCCACAGUCCAAACUCCUACGGGAGGGAGCAGUGGGGAAUCUUGCGAUAUGGGCUAAAGGCUGACGCAGUCAUGCCGCGUGAAUGAUGUAGGUCUUAGGAAGGUAAAAUUCUUUCACCGGGGACGGUAAUGACGGUACCCGGAGAAGAAGCCCCGGCUAACUUCGUG